GGAGGUUCUGGGUGACACACCCCAGAAUUGAGCACCUUCCUCUCUGGUUCUGGGGUGCAUCACCUGAGAACCACU
rfam:Myotis lucifugus cont2.27592, whole genome shotgun sequence.